rnacentral:lncRNA from 1 species
CUGCUGUCUUGAUGACGCACAGUGCUGGCGCAAGUCGUCUUGCGCCAGGCGACUGGGUCUGAGGAGGCAGGAGUUAUUCAUUCCCUUAAGCUUUCAGGCCGGGGGGAGAAUCUUUCAGGUGGUAGCUGCAAGAACUCUUAGUAUGUUGACCUCACCUCUGCCUUCCACAUACCACUACCAGUGAGGAAUUAGGAAUGCAUGAGAAGAGUGUCCAAGAAGAGUGUCCUCAUUCAUGCAAGGCUUAAGAGAGAAUGCAGGUCAACAUCACCAUGUCAAUCAGAGGUGCAGAUGCUGAGAGCACUUUCUAGUCAAGUCCUGCAUGUUCAUUUCUGUCUCAAGUCAGCUUCUCUGAGAAUCCAAUUUAUAAAAAUAUAUUUGUGAAUGUAUAAGUAAAGUGACUUGGAUUUUGUCUACGUACAAGGACUUCUAUGCCUGCAUAAAACAGAGUGUUUUGCUGCUACAUGAAGGUGCACAUGUCUGGGAAGGCUCAGGAAUGGAUGUUGACAUCAUGUCAUAAACCCCUAUUGUGGUUUCAGUCAUUUGUGGAAUGGUUGCAGAUGGCGAUCAACUGAAGAACGGAUUUGUGGCG